CCCUUAGAUGUUCUGGGCCGCACGCGUGCUACACUGAGUGGAUCAGCGGGUCAGGUUGCGCGAAAGUGUUUCCUAAUCUUUAAAUCCGCUCGUGAUGGGGAUUGACGGUUGCAAUUUUCCGUCAUGAACGAGGAAUACCUUGUAAGCGCGGGUCAUCAUCCCGCGCUGAAUACGUCCCUGCCCUUUGUACACACCGCCCGUCGCUCCUACCGAUUGAAUGUGUUGGUGAGGAGCUCGGAUUGGCAGCAGUUGGUGGUUCGCCACCGGCUAUUACUGAGAAGUCCUCCAAACCGCCCCAUUUAGAGGAAGGAGAAGUCGUAACA
rnacentral:rRNA from 1 species